rnacentral:rRNA from 1 species
UACAGAGGGUGCGAGCGUUAAUCGGAAUUACUGGGCGUAAAGCGUGCGUAGACGGUUAUUUAAGUCGGGUGUGAAAGCCCCGGGCUCAACCUGGGAAUUGCAUUUGAUACUGGAUAGCUAGAGUUCGGCAGAGGGAAGUGGAAUUUCUGGUGUAGCGGUGAAAUGCGUAGAUAUCAGAAGGAACAUCAGUGGCGAAAGCGACUUCCUGGACCAGAACUGACGAUCAGGCACGAAAGCGUGGGGAGCAAACAGG